GGAUGUGAGGACGAUCUGGCUGCGACAUCUGUCACCCCAUUGAUCGCCAGGGUUGAUUCGGCUGAUCUGGCUGGCUAGGCCGGUGUCCCCUUCCUCCCUCACCACUCCAUGUGCAUCCCUCCUGAAGCUGCACGCUCGGUCGAAGAGGUCAACCUUCCCCUAAUAGAGGAGGAUGGUCUUCGGUCAAGGGUAUAUGAGUAGCUGCGCUCCCCUGCUAGAACCUCCAAACAAGCUUUCAAGAAAAGAAAAAAUAUUUUGAAAUUAUUUAUUUGAGAGAGAGAAAGAAGCAGAUAGAUAGAUAGAUACAGA
rnacentral:snRNA from 1 species